rnacentral:rRNA from 1 species
AAGCUGGGCGGGGCCGCAGAGAAGUGGCCCAAGCGACUGUUUACCAAAAACACAGGUCUCUGCUAAGUCGAAAGACGAUGUAUAGGGGCUGACGCCUGCCCGGUGCCGGAAGGUUAAGAGGAGAUGUUAGCCGAUCGUAAGAAAGGCAAAGCAUUGAAUUGAAGCCCCGGUAAACGGCGGCCGUAACAAUAACGGUCCUAAGGUAGCGAAAUUCCUUGUCGGGUAAGUUCCGACCUGCACGAAUGGCGUAACGACUUGGGCGCUGUCUCAACGAGGGACUCGGUGAAAUUGUAGUAUCGGUGAAGAUGCCGAUUACCCGCAGAAAGACGGAGAGACCCCGUGAACCUUUACUGCAGCUUGAUAUUGGAGUUCGGUGCACGUCGUCCAGAAUAGGUGGGAGGCUGUGAAGCCGGGACGCCAGUCUCGGUGGAGCCACCUUUGGGAUACCACUCUUCGUGUUCUGGGCUUCUAACGCGUGGCCGUGAUCCGGCACGCAGACAGUGUCAGGUGGGCAGUUUGACUGGGGCGGUCGCCUCCUAAAACGUAACGGAGGCGCCCAAAGGUUCCCUCAGUACGAUUGGAAACCGUACGCAGAGUGUAAAGGCACAAGGGAGCUUGACUGCGAGACUGACAAGUCGAGCAGGGACGAAAGUCGGGCUUAGUGAUCCGGCCGUGGAGAGUGGAAUCGCGGUCGCUCAACGGACAAAAGGUACUCCGGGGAUAACAGGCUUAUCCUCCCCAAGAGUCCACAUCGACGGGAGGGUUUGGCACCUCGAUGUCGGCUCAUCGCAUCCUGGGGCUGGAGUCGGUCCCAAGGGUUGGGCUGUUCGCCCAUUAAAGCGGUACGUGAGCUGGGUUCAGAACGUCGUGAGACAGUUCGGUCCCUAUCUUCUGUGGGCGUUGGAGAUUUGAGAGGGGUUGCCCCUAGUACGAGAGGACCGGGGUGAACAGACCUCUGGUGUAUCAGUUGUCGUGCCAACGGCACUGCUGGUUAGCUACGUCUGGAAACGAUAACCGCUGAAAGCAUCUAAGCGGGAAGCGCGCCUCAAGAUGAGAUCUCCCACCAGCUUGACUGGGUAAGGGCCCAGGUAGACCACCAGGUUGAUAGGCUGGAUGUGUACGCACAGCAAUGUGUUCAGCAGACCAGUACUAAUCGCCCGAGGGCUUGACUUU